rfam:Canis lupus familiaris chromosome 1, whole genome shotgun sequence.
CGGGGGAGGCGGGAUCCUGGGCUGUGUCCCGGCGCCCUGUGCUCCGGGGCCUGCGCUGGUGGAUUCGCGCUCCCGGGCCGCAGCCCCCU